CGGAGAGUUUGAUCCUGGCUCAGGACAAACGCUGGCGGCGUGCCUAACACAUGCAAGUCGAGCGAGAAAGGGGCUUCGGCCCCGAGUAGAGCGGCGAACGGGUGAGUAGCACGUGGGUAACCUGCCUCAAGGACUGGGAUAACUCCGGGAAACCGGGGCUAAUACCGGACGAUGUCGUCUGGCACAAGCCGGGCGACCAAAGGUAGCUUCGGCCUCUGCCUUGAGAUGGGCCCGCGCCCUAUCAGCUUGUUGGUGAGGUAACGGCUCACCAAGGCUACGACGGGUAGCUGGUCUGAGAGGAUGAUCAGCCACACUGGGACUGAGAUACGGCCCAGACUCCUACGGGAGGCAGCAGUGGGGAA
rnacentral:rRNA from 1 species